rnacentral:ncRNA from 1 species
CCAGAACUCCGAUUAAAAUCGGAGGCACUUAGGAACGGAAAGUUAAACAGAAAGUCGAAAAUUAAGUGUAAAAUCUGACUAAAUGCUGGAAUAACUCUGAAUCUGACAGUAGUCCAAUGGACUAAUAAUCUGAUCAGUGGAGUCAAUCAGCAGGGAAGACUCGCCUUAGGCGAGAACCCUCAGAGACUAUACGUCAGAUGAUGUGCCAAAUGGUACGUCAAAGAGAUAGUCCGAACUCUUAAGCGAUUAAGAG